rnacentral:misc_RNA from 1 species
GAUGAAGAACGUAGCGAAAUGCGAUAAGUAAUGCGAAUUGCAGAAUUCAGUGAAUCAUCGAAUCUUUGAACGCACAUUGCGCCCGCUAGUAUUCUGGCGGGCAUGCCUGUUCGAGCGUCAUUUCAACCCUCAAGCUCAGCUUGGUGUUGGGACUCGCGGUAACCCGCGUUCCCCAAAUCGAUUGGCGGUCACGUCGAGCUUCCAUAGCGUAGUAAUCAUACACCUCGUUACUGGUAAUCGUCGCGGCCACGCCGUAAAACCCCAACUUCUGAAUGUUGACCUCGGAUCAGGUAGGAAUACCCGCUGAACUUAAGCAUAUCAAUAAGCGGAGGA